rnacentral:rRNA from 1 species
UACGUAGGGUGCAAGCGUUGUUCGGAAUUAUUGGGCGUAAAGCGCGUGUAGGUGGCUGUGUAAGUCGAGUGUGAAAUCCCUGGGCUCAACCGAGGAAGUGCACUCGAAACUACAUAGCUAGAGGACAAUAGAGGAAGGUGGAAUUCCUAGUGUAGAGGUGAAAUUCGUAGAUAUUAGGAGGAAUACCGGUGGCGAAGGCGACCUUCUGGGUUGUUCCUGACACUGAGACGCGAAAGCAUGGGUAGCAAACAGG